GUACGGUUUUACACCUCUCCUCACCAGCUAUGUGUGAGAGCUUGAGUUAUCCCAUAUCCUUGGCAAACUUUGGAACUACGGAAUCUCGCCCUGUCACCCAGGCACGAUCUCGGCUCACUGUAAGCUCCGCCUCCCAGGUUGACGCCAUUCUCCUGCAUCAGCCUCCCGAGUAACUGGAACUACAGGUGCCCGCCACCACGCCCGGCUAAUUUUUUGUAUUUUUAGUAGAGACGGGGUUUCACUGUGUUAGCCAGGAUGGUCUCGAUCUCCUGACCUCGUGAUCCACCUGCCUCGGAUUUCCAAAGUGCUGGGAUUACAGGCAUGAGCCACCACACUCGGCCUGUCAAUAACUCUUCAAACAGAAGACCAAAAAUAAAACCACUAUGGAUGUAAAAUAUGAAAACCACAAUAAUGAAUUACAUGUAACUCACAUAUAUAGACCAAACAACUCUGAAAGAGCAAAAAACAUUUUUUCAAAUGCAUUUGAAACAUUCACAAAAAUGGAUCAUAUAUUGUAAGAUUUAUAAAACUACAACAACUUUCAAAAAGUAAAUAAUAUGUGUUUAUUGACCACAAUAAAAUUAAAAUAUUUUUGAAGCCUAAUUUUCUACAACUUAAUAACGUAUUUUUUCAAAUAUAUAACAUUUAUAUAUUAAAAUAUAAAAAUAAUACAUUUAAAAUACAUUUUAAAUAUAGGACAAAAAUAAUUGAAAAAAUACUUAAACUAAAUUAUAGUUACAAUUUAAAACAUUAAAACAUGUAAGAUGCAGCUAAAGAGGUGCCUUUGAGGAAAUCUAUACCUUAUAUGUAUAUGUUCAAAAAAGAAGGAUGAUUGGGAUAAUCAUUUAAGCUUUAUUUAAAGAAUUUAGGAAAAAGGAAAGCAAACCAAAAAAUCUAUAAAGAAAAUGAAAUAAUAAAAUUGUUAAGAAUAGUUUAAAUAUAAAAUAUACACAAAAUUCAUAAAAUCAAUGUAACGUAAAAUUUUUAAUAAAAUUUAUUAAUAAAACUACUAACAUGAAUAAUCAAGAGAAAAAAUAAACUAUAAAUAUCUGAUUUCUGGAAUAAAGAAAUAGAAAAGAUUGCAUACCCCACAAAUAUUUUAAAAAGUGAAAAAAAUAGUAUGAAAACCAUUUAGUAAUUUUCAAAAUGGGUAAAUGUCUUGAAGUAUCAGUUUAAAAGAGUUGAAAAGAAAGACAAAAUCUGAAUAAUUGAUAGCUAUUUAAGAAAUUUAAUCUGUUACUUGAAAUCUAAACAAAAAGAAUGUCAAAGAUCUACAUCACUUCACUAGUGAAUACUUCCAAACAUUUAAGGUAAUUUUUAUGCCAACUAUUCCAGAUUUAGAAAGAGAAUAUCUUCUAAUCUUUUACAAAUUCAGUUUUUAAAAAAAUUACAAGAAUGGAAAAUUAUGUAUUACCUUUUUUUGUGAAUAUAGAAAAUAAAUACUCUGGCAUAUAAGUAAUUCUGUAAAGGUUUCAUAUGGUCUCAAAAAGUAUAAUAUCUAGUUGUUGACUGAUGUGAGAUGAUAAGUAUAUAUAGGUAGGUAGAUAUUCACAUUUAUGAAUCUUGCUCAAGUAUUCUUUAUCUUUGCUGAUUUGUGUUAUAUACAUUUUAAAAUAAAGAUUAAUUAUUAAUUUCAUAUUUAAUAGGGAUUAUAUAAAGAUAUAAGUUUAUCAAGAUUACAUCAAGAAUGAAAGCAUCCAUUUAAAGUGUAAAAGUCAUGUGUCAAACUAAAUGAGUUUGACCAAUGCAUAUACUAUACACUGGUGAAACUAACACUUCAUUACUGAAACAUUUUCAUCAUCCCAAAGGUUCCCAUGCCCCUUCCCAAUCUCCUAUAUUCUUCUAGAGUCAGCCUCUGACCUUCUAGCAC
rnacentral:lncRNA from 1 species